UAGGGCGGGACACGUGUUAUCCUGUCUGAAUAUGGGGGGACCAUCCUCCAAGGCUAAAUACUCCUGAUUGACCGAUAGUGAACCAGUACCGUGAGGGAAAGGCGAAAAGAACCCCGGCGAGGGGAGUGAAAUAGAACCUGAAACCGUGUACGUACAAGCAGUGGGAGCCUUGAUUUAUCAGGGUGACUGCGUACCUUUUGUAUAAUGGGUCAGCGACUUAUAUUCUGUAGCAAGGUUAACCGUAUAGGGGAGCCGUAGGGAAACCGAGUCUUAACUGGGCGAAUGAGUUGCAGGGUAUAGACCCGAAACCCGGUGAUCUAGCCAUGGGCAGGUUGAAGGUUGGGUAACACUAACUGGAGGACCGAACCGACUAAUGUUGAAAAAUUAGCGGAUG
rnacentral:rRNA from 1 species